GACGAACGCUGGCGGCGUGCUUAACACAUGCCAGUCGAACGGAAAGGCCCUGCUUUUGUGGGGUUCUCGAGUGGCGAACGGGUGAGUAACACGUGAGUAACCUGCCCUUGACUUUGGGAUAACUUCAGGAAACUGGGGCUAAUACCGGAUAGGAGCUCCUGCUGCAUGGUGGGGGUUGGAAAGUUUCGGCGGUUGGGGAUGGACUCGCGGCUUAUCAGCUUGUUGGUGGGGUUGUGGCUUACCAAGGCUUUGACGGGUAGCCGGCCUGAGAGGGUGACCGGCCACAUUGGGACUGAGAUACGGCCCAGACUCCUACGGGAGGCAGCAGUGGGGAAUAUUGCACAAUGGGCGGAAGCCUGAUGCAGCAACGCCGCGUGCGGGAUGACGGCCUUCGGGUUGUAAACCGCUUUCGCCUGUGACGAAGCGUGAGUGACGGUAAUGGGUAAAGAAGCACCGGCUAACUACGUG
rnacentral:rRNA from 1 species